UCAAUUAUAAACUUUACUCCACGGAUUAGCAUUGCGUGUUGCCAAUAAUCUGAUAACACAUUUCGCAUUAGUAUAAAUACAAGGAGUAGCUGCUGUAAUAUCAUAACACAAUCAAGUGAUACUAACAAGUCUACUUGUGCUCAAGUGAAAUUUGCUUGAAACAAUUAUUUUGUUUUAAAUUAUUUCUUCAAACUAUCUAUCGAAAAUGCAGCGCAACCCAGCUUUCCCCUCCGCCAUGAGCUCCG